GCCCUGCUUUUCCUGCGUCCGAAAAUAUUUGUCAUCAAAAUGGAUAAAAAGGAAUGUAUUUAAAACUAAAAUACGUCUAGAUACAUCUUUUGUCCAUUUCGAUGACAAGUAUUUCCGGACGGAGAGAGUAUAAU
rfam:Triticum aestivum genome assembly, contig: Triticum_aestivum_CS42_TGACv1_scaffold_019193_1AS